CUCAAAGUGCCCUGUCUGUGCUGGCACAGCUCAGUGUGUCCUGCUCUGGUGCUGCCCAUGGUGUCCCCUUUAUCACUGGGGAAGGUCAGGUGGGCACAAGGGGCAGAGGGGAUGGGAUGUGCUGUUCCUUGCCACUCUGAAAAUUGGUUUUGGUGUGUCUGAGUCACAGAAUGGUUUGUACCUUAAAGAUCAGCUUGUUCCAACUCCCCUACCAUCCCCUUCCACUAUCCCUGGUUCCAAGCCCCAUCCAACCUGGCCUGGAACAUUUCCAUGGGUGGGGCAGCCACAGCUUCUCUGAACAACCUGUGCCAGGGCCUCAGCACCCUCAGAGACAAGAAUUUCUUCUUAAUAUCUAAUCUAAACUUACUCUCUUUCAGUGUGAAGCCACUACUCCUUGUCCUAUUGAGAAUUAGAUCCUUGUCCUAUCAAGAAUUACAUCCUUCAGGCUCUGUGAAGAUGUCAAGGACAUCAAGGCAGACAUUCCCUGUGGGGACAGCAUGUGGGUGUGAAGCAGCAGGUCUGGAAUGAUGUGUACAAUGCCAGAAGAGAAGGAUGAGAUACCAUUCCUGCUGGGACUGCUGCCCCUGAACCUAAAGCAAAUGCUCAGAAAGGUUUAUUGGACAGGUAAAGCUACUGAAGAAAAUUAUUUUCUUUGAUUUACUGAGUGAAAGCUGCAAAACAAGCGGUUCAUUUUUUUUACAGUUUGUUAACAGCUUGCAAUCCUAUGGGUUUAGAUUAUUUUUAAAUUUAAAAAUAAUUCUAAAAGUGAAACAGGCAAUCUGUGGUGCAGUGCCAGAAGAGAGGCUGUGCUGUGUCCAAGCAAAGAUCCCUGAUGCUGGCUGGUAGCAAGUACCUGGGGAGAAUAUUCAAGAGCAGAGUCUGGCUUUGUGCUCCCAGUUUCUGCUAAUCAGCAGCUCGGGACUUUCUAACCCAGAGGUCAUUAUGAUGGCCUAUGGUGAAC
rnacentral:lncRNA from 1 species